rfam:Schistosoma mattheei strain Denwood, Zambia genome assembly, scaffold: SMTD_contig0010660
AUCCAGCUCACCAGUCCCGAAUAGGACGAAACGUGCGUCCUGUAU